rnacentral:rRNA from 1 species
GAUGAACGCUGGCGGCGUGCCUAAUACAUGCAAGUCGAACGCUGGAACUCUAGCUUGCUCGCUUGAAGGAGUGGCGAACGGGUGAGUAAUACAUAAGCAACCUACCCACGAAGACUGGGAUAAUCUCUGGAAACGGGGACUAAUACCGGAUAGGUAAUCGGAAGGCAUCUUCUGAUUAUUAAAGGUUAAAAACACUGGUGGAUGGGCUUAUGGCGCAUUAGUUAGUUGGUGAGGUAACGGCCCACCAAGACGAUGAUGCGUAGCCGGCCUGAGAGGGUGAACGGCCACAUUGGGACUGAGACACGGCCCAGACUCCUACGGGAGGCAGCAGUAGGGAAUUGUCGGCAAUGGGGGAAACCCUGACCGAGCAACGCCGCGUGAGUGAUGACGGCCUUCGGGUUGUAAAGCUCUGUUGUAAGGGAAGAACGGUAGAUAGAGAAUAUCUAAAUGACGGUACCUUACCAGAAAGCCACGGCUAACUACGUG